rnacentral:rRNA from 1 species
AGCGACAGAAGAAGACACCGGCUAACUCCGUGCCAGCAGCCGCGGUAAUACGGAGGGUGCGAGCGUUAAUCGGAAUUACUGGGCGUAAAGCGCAUGCAGGUGGUUUGUUAAGUCAGAUGUGAAAGACCCGGGGCGUCAACCUACGGAAUAGCAUUUGUAAACUAGGCAGACUAGAGUACUGUAGAGGGGGGUAGGAAGUUUCAGGUGUAGCGGUGAAAUGCGUAGAGAUCUGAAGGAAUACCGGUGGCGAAGGCGGCCCCCUGGACAGAUACUGACACUCAGAUGCGAAAGCGUGGGGAGCAAACAGGAUUAGAUACCCUGGUAG